rnacentral:tmRNA from 1 species
GGGGGCGACAUGGUUUCGACGGGGGUGGAUGAGGCGUGGGAUGCGUGCCGAGGACCCCGGUUGGCCUCGUUAAUCAUCCGGGAACAAGUUAACUGCGAACCAAAACUUCGCACUCGCCGCCUAAUUUGCGCGGCGCGUCCACCCCGUGACCGCCUGCUAACGGACGUGGACGACGACUAGCGGGCCUUGCGCCGGAACGGCCGAGGGAACGUCCGGCAGAGUAGGUUUCCCCCUAGCGAAGCGGGACAGCGCGCCUGACGCGGUUCCGCCCGGCGAAUCAACAAAAGAAAGGCUACGCACGUAGGAUCCCCCGCUGAGGCACUUCCGGACGCGGGUUCGAUUCCCGCCGCCUCCACCA